rnacentral:tRNA from 1 species
CUUAGCUCAGUUGGAUAGAGCAACGGCCUUCUAAGCCGUGGGUCACAGGUUCGAAUCCUGUAG